GGGGAUGAAUGUUUCGACGAGGUUAUUGCCCCAUUAAGUGCUUAGGGUGGUAUGGUUGUUACACCACCAUAAUCAAAUCCGACCAUUUUAAUAGGUGCAAAUCAUUCACCUGUAUACGCUUACGCCUAACAUAGUUUAGGUAAAGCCAUCCUGGCCUCGAUGCUCAUUAGAGGAUUCCGGGGUGUCAUUCAAUGAGCUCUAUCGCACAAACAGUCCUCCACUGUGCGAUGAAAUGAAGGAGGAAUAGCCAAGAAUAAUUUUGCUUGAUUUCUACUUCUUGGUGAAAUAUCAAAUCAGCUAUCUAAGUAGACACUUUUUUGGGAAAAGCUUCGGACGAGGUUUCAACACCUCCAUCUCCACCU
rfam:Candidatus Yanofskybacteria bacterium RIFCSPLOWO2_01_FTLL_42_49 rifcsplowo2_01_scaffold_535, whole genome shotgun sequence.